GAUGAAGAACGUAGCGAAAUGCGAUACGUAGUGUGAAUUGCAGAAUUCCGUGAACCAUCAAAUCUUUGAACGCAUAUUGCGCUCGAGGCUUCGGCCGAGAGCAUGUCUGCCUCAGCGUCGGUAUUACCCCUCGCUUCUCAACCCCUGGUUGAUGCCUGCCUGCCUUUGCAGUUGGCUAGAAGCGGAUCUGGCUUUCCCAAUUGCCUUUGGUAGUUGGGUCAGCUGAAGCACAGAGGCUUGAGCAAGGACCCUUAUUGGGCUUCAACUGGAUAGGUAGAACUGGUCUUAGGACCAACUACACGAAGUUGUUGCUUGUGGUCUUUUGUCUGGAGGCCAGCAGGAAACCCUUAUACCUUCGACCUGAGCUCAGGCAAGAUUACCCGCUGAACUUAAGCAUAUCAAUAAGCGGAGGA
rnacentral:misc_RNA from 1 species